rnacentral:rRNA from 1 species
AGUUUGAUCCUGGCUCAGGAUGAACGCUAGCUACAGGCUUAACACAUGCAAGUCGAGGGGCAGCGGUAUCGAAAGCUUGCUUUUUCUAGGCGUCGACCGGCGCACGGGUGAGUAACGCGUAUCCAACCUGCCCAUCACUUGGGGAUAACCUUGCGAAAGUAAGACUAAUACCCAAUGACGUCUCUAGAAGACAUCUGAAGGAGAUUAAAGAUUUAUCGGUGAUGGAUGGGGAUGCGUCUGAUUAGCUUGUUGGCGGGGUAACGGCCCACCAAGGCGACGAUCAGUAGGGGUUCUGAGAGGAAGGUCCCCCACAUUGGAACUGAGACACGGUCCAAACUCCUACGGGAGGCAGCAGUGAGGAAUAUUGGUCAAUGGGCGAGAGCCUGAACCAGCCAAGUAGCGUGCAGGAUGACGGCCCUAUGGGUUGUAAACUGCUUUUAUAAGGGAAUAAAGUGAGAGUCGUGACUCUUUUUGCAUGUACCUUAUGAAUAAGGACCGGCUAAUUCCGUGCCAGCAGCCGCGGUAAUACGGAAGGUCCGGGCGUUAUCCGGAUUUAUUGGGUUUAAAGGGAGCGUAGGCCGGAGAUUAAGCGUGUUGUGAAAUGUAGACGCUCAACGUCUGCACUGCAGCGCGAACUGGUUUCCUUGAGUACGCACAAAGUGGGCGGAAUUCGUGGUGUAGCGGUGAAAUGCUUAGAUAUCACGAAGAACUCCGAUUGCGAAGGCAGCUCACUGGAGCGCAACUGACGCUGAAGCUCGAAAGUGCGGGUAUCGAACAGGAUUAGAUACCCUGGUAGUCCGCACGGUAAACGAUGGAUGCCCGCUGUUGGUCUGAAUAGGUCAGCGGCCAAGCGAAAGCAUUAAGCAUCCCACCUGGGGAGUACGCCGGCAACGGUGAAACUCAAAGGAAUUGACGG